AACCAUUCUCACCUGCGGCUAGACCUGCGGAAGGAUCAUUACCGAGUUUACAACUCCCAAACCCCUGUGAACAUACCAAUUGUUGCCUCGGCGGAUCAGCCCGCUCCCGGUAAAACGGGGCGGCCCGCCAGAGGACUCCUAAACUCUGUUUCUAUAUGUAACUUCUGAGUAAAACCAUAAAUAAAUCAAAACUUUUAACAAUGGAUCU
rnacentral:misc_RNA from 1 species